GUGCUUGCUUUGGCAGCAUAUAUACAAAAAUUGGAACAAUACAGGGAAGAUCUGACUCAUUUGAAAAGACCAUGAUGCUGGGAAAGAUUGAAGGUGGGAGGAGAAGGGGACGACAGAAGAUGAGAUGGUUGGAUGGCAUAGCCAACUCAAUGGACAUGAGUUUGAGUAAACUCCAGGAACUGGUGAUGGACAGGGAGGCUUGGCAUGAUGCAGUCCAUGGGGUGACGAAGAGUUGGACAAGACUGAGUGACUGAACUGAACAAAGAUCAGCAAGGCCCCUGCCCAAGGAUGACAUACAAAUUCAUGAAGCAUUCCAUAUUUUU
ensembl:snRNA U6 U6 spliceosomal RNA